GCACUGCUGAAGAGUCCCAUAAUAGGACGAAACGGCCGUCCAGUAC
rfam:Schistosoma curassoni strain Dakar, Senegal genome assembly, scaffold: SCTD_contig0000171